CUGUCUGAUCUCAGAAGCUAAGCAGGGUCAGGCCUGGUUAGUACUUGGAGGGGAGACCACCUAGGAAGACCAGGUGCUGUAGGUG
rnacentral:rRNA from 1 species